ensembl:snRNA U6 U6 spliceosomal RNA
GAGAUCCACCUGUCUCUACUAAAAAAAUUGGAAUGAUACAAAGAUUAGUAUGGCCCCAGACCAAGGAAGACAAGCAAAUUCAUGAAGCAUCCCAUAUUUUU